UAUGUGUUUUGGUAAUGGAGACCUCAAAUAAGGCUACUGCAUCUCCGUCUUCAAAAUCAUCAAAUUUGAUUAUAUUUGCUAGAUUAUCUAGUCUUCUAGUUGCAUGCUAGUUCUUGUUUGGGGUCUUUCCUUUCGAUCAAAUUUCCUUUCUCACACCUCAUCAACUCACAAUGCUCACAUCUACUCUGUUCUUCAUUAUCUUGUAAUGGUGAUAGGUUUUGUAAUCAUCAGCGGAGAAGCAAUAUUGGUGCAUAAAUGCUGUCCAGGGUCGAAAAAUUUGAAGAAAUUGGUACAUCUAACUAUGCAAGAAGUUGCUUUGGCAUCUGGCAUUUUCGGAAUUCGGGCAAACUUUUAUCUAAUUCUGUAGUUUACAUUUUUGGAUGGGUUUGAUCUGUAUCUCCUUGUUUGCUGCUCAGGUUGGUUCAACAUUGACACAAACCAUAUCUUUUUGGAGAUAAGUAUUGUCUUUUCAAUUGACGAUCAGUAACUCAUGCGAUUUUAAGCUGACAGGUUAAAGCAUUCUUCUGCUUUUUUGUUGUUUAAUUUUUAUGCUGGAAAAGUGAGUUGCUAUCCUAUGCACUCCUCCAUAUAUAUGUAGCUUGUAGUUCAGUAGAUCAAAAAUAUCUUGGAUAGUACAAGGAGCCCAAUAUUCCACAAAUAGGACUAGCUAUAGUUGUUUGAGCAUCAUUUUCCGUUAUUUGUGAAAUUUGAUUUAAGAAUAAUCUUUAGACAUCCCAGUAAUAGCAUAUGCUAACUGUGUGCGAAAGGAUAGUUUAUCGAAUCCUUUCAUUUCUGUUAUAUUAAUUAAAUUAAAACUAGCUGUGGUUUGUGCUUCCGAACCAAACAACACUUUCUAGUUUGAUUAGUGUACUCUCGUUGUCCUUAUCUCUUCUUCCUUUGUCCCUUCUCUCAUUUUGUUCCAAUGGUUGAUUUUCAUGUGAGACUGUUCUCCUUAUCAUCUAGAUCCUUAGAAAAUUCACAAGUUCUAAAAUCUCUUAGCCCCUUGAAAUGUAAUGAAAGAUCUCAGUUGUCAGAUAGUAGAAUGAUGUAUUCCCAAAGACUUUUGGUAUCAUUUUGGGGUUUAGAUGAAUUUUUUUGUGGUGGCUGUUGAGGCGAACACUCCCACAGAAAAUUAGGCAUUGAAUCUACAAGGCAAAAAUGAGAGGGAAAGUGGUAAAUGCAGAUUGAGCUUAUUUUUCCGGAUUAUAUUAGCAUGCUAUGUCGCACGUCGUUUACAAGAUGUCGGCAUUUGUUCACUGCUAAAUUUAUUGAUAUUGGAGGCACCUGAAUUGAAGAAUCCGCGAAAUAUUGGUUUCUGGAUUUGAUCGCACUGACUUCCAGGUUAAUCAGUGGUUAAUGGGGUUCUUUAGCUUUUGGCAUCAAGGAGAGGAGCACACCACAAGGAUAAGGGUGUUACCAGGACAUAGGUUCCUUUGGCUCUAUAUAUAUGCAUUAGCCAUUGCAACGGCUGAGACAGGUCUACUUGAGAAGCUCACAUUCUUAGAAGCAAAGAAGAAGGUUCUGAAACAUUCUCUGGAGUCGGUAGUGGUCAAUAGUCUAGGACUAGGAUUAUCUUUAGUUGGUGGUAUUGUAAUACUGACUGCUGUUUCUCCAGGGAAUCAAAGCAUUCCGACUAAAAUUGUAUAUCCAAGUCGACAUAUUGCAAUUAUGUUGUGCACGUCGUUGUUUAGUAUUUCAGUUCUUUGGUUGUGAUAAAAAUCAAGUCCCUGAAUCUCUUGUCGAUUUUCUUAACGACCAGAGAAUCAUAUUCGCCAGAGCUGGGAUCGAUGAAGCUGCACACAAGCUUUCGAUUGAUUAUGGGUUGAGUAUUGCAACAACUGAAGAUCUUGGAAGGUCAGCUGAAUCUAAGCUUGGUACACGAGGACUUUAUCAACUCGAUUUGAAUUCUUUAGUGAAUAUUGUGCUCGGAAAACAUCUGCAUCUUCAACCCAAGUUUACAAGGAUUACCUUCAGUAGAUGGGACAGGAAUACUUUUAAAGAACGAGGAUGCUUAUGCAAACUCGGUCUUUAUUUGUUGCGUCUUCCAGCCCCAAAACAAGUUUCCCCAAGAAACUAAACAGGCCCAAGGCGCUAGCGAAACUACCCCAGGCGCACAAAAGCC